rnacentral:rRNA from 1 species
UACGUAGGGUGCGAGCGUUAAUCGGAAUUCCUGGGCGUAAAGUGUGCGCAGGCGGCAGAGCAAGUCGAGUGUGAAAGCCCCGGGCUUAACUUGGGAAUUGCGCUCGAAACUACUUUGCUGGAGUGUGGCAGAGGAAGGUGGAAUUCCACGUGUAGCGGUGAAAUGCGCAGAUAUCAGGAAGAACACCCGUGGCGAAGGCGGCUCUCUGGGACGGUACUGACGCUGAGGCACGAAGGCCAGGGGAGCAAACGGG